GCCUCCCUGGUCCAGUGGUUGAGCGCUGGGCUCGCGACCCGGAGGUCCCGGGUUCGAAUCCCGGUGGGGACA
rnacentral:tRNA from 1 species